GGAGUUUGGACCGUGUCUCAGUUCCAAUGUGGCCGAUCACCCUCUCAGGUCGGCUACUGAUCGUCGCCUUGGUGAGCCGUUACCUCACCAACUAACUAAUCAGACGCAGGCCCAUCCCUUGCCGAUAAAUCUUUGACGAAAAAGAGAUGUCUCUCUUCCGUAUUAUGAGGUUUUAAUCCCGGUUUCCCGAGGCUAUCCCUCUGCAUGGGGCAGGUUGCCUACGCGUUACUCACCCGUCCGCCGCUUUCCGCCUCACAGAAUCAACCGAAGUAUCUUCUGGUGAGGUUUCUCGCUCGACUUGCAUGUGUUAGGCACGCCGCCAGCGUUCAUC
rnacentral:rRNA from 1 species